GAUGAACGCUGGCGGCGUGCCUAAUACAUGCGAGUCGAGCGAACAGACGAGGAGCUUGCUCCUCUGACGUUAGCGGCGGACGGGUGAGUAACACGUGGAUAACCUACCUAUAAGACUGGGAUAACUUCGGGAAACCGGAGCUAAUACCGGAUAAUAUAUUGAACCGCAUGGUUCAAUAGUGAAAGACGGUUUUGCUGUCACUUAUAGAUGGAUCCGCGCCGCAUUAGCUAGUUGGUAAGGUAGCGGCUUACCAAGGCAACGAUGCGUAGCCGACCUGAGAGGGUGAUCGGCCACACUGGAACUGAGACACGGUCCAGACUCCUACGGGAGGCAGCAGUAGGGAAUCUUCCGCAAUGGGCGAAAGCCUGACGGAGCAACGCCGCGUGAGUGAUGAAGGUCUUCGGAUCGUAAAACUCUGUUAUUAGGGAAGAACAAAUGUGUAAGUAACUAUGCACGUCUUGACGGUACCUAAUCAGAAAGCCACGGCGAACUACGU
rnacentral:rRNA from 1 species